rnacentral:rRNA from 1 species
UUGCUUCUCUUGAGAGCGGCGGACGGGUGAGUAAUGCCUAGGAAUCUGCCUGGUAGUGGGGGAUAACGCUCGGAAACGGACGCUAAUACCGCAUACGUCCUACGGGAGAAAGCAGGGGACCUUCGGGCCUUGCGCUAUCAGAUGAGCCUAGGUCGGAUUAGCUAGUUGGUGAGGUAAUGGCUCACCAAGGCGACGAUCCGUAACUGGUCUGAGAGGAUGAUCAGUCACACUGGAACUGAGACACGGUCCAGACUCCUACGGGAGGCAGCAGUGGGGAAUAUUGGACAAUGGGCGAAAGCCUGAUCCAGCCAUGCCGCGUGUGUGAAGAAGGUCUUCGGAUUGUAAAGCACUUUAAGUUGGGAGGAAGGGCAUUAACCUAAUACGUUGGUGUCUUGACGUUACCGACAGAAUAAGCACCGGCUAACUCUGUGCCAGCAGCCGCGGUAAUACAGAGGGUGCAAGCGUUAAUCGGAAUUACUGGGCGUAAAGCGCGCGUAGGUGGUUUGUUAAGUUGGAUGUGAAAUCCCCCGGGCUCAACC